UACGUAGGGGGCGAGCGUUAUCCGGAUUCACUGGGUGUAAAGGGAGCGUAGACGGCCAUGCAAGCCAGGGGUGAAAGCCCGGGGCCCAACCCCGGGACUGCCCUUGGAACUGCAUGGCUGGAGUGCGGGAGGGGCAGGCGGAAUUCCUGGUGUAGCGGUGAAAUGCGUAGAUAUUAGGAGGAACACCAGUGGCGAAGGCGGCCUGCUGGACAGUAACUGACGUUGAGGCUCGAAAGCGUGGGGAGCAAACAGG
rnacentral:rRNA from 1 species